GCCGGUGACAAGCCGGAGGAAGGCGGGAUGACGUCAAGUCCUCAUGGCCCUUAUGGGCUGGGCUACACACGUGCUACAAUGGCGGUGACAGUGGGCAGCGAAGGGCGACCCUAGCUAAUCCUCAAAAACCGUCUCAGUUCGGAUUGCACUCUGCAACUCGAGUGCAUGAAGGUGGAAUCGCUAGUAAUCGCGGAUCAGCAUGCCGCGGUGAAUACGUUCCCGGGCCUU
rnacentral:rRNA from 1 species